rnacentral:rRNA from 1 species
UACGUAGGGAGCAAGAGUUGUCCGGAUUUACUGGGUGUAAAGGGUGCGUAGGCGGCUUGGCAAGUCAGAUGUGAAAUGCAGAGGCUCAACCUCUGAGCUGCAUUUGAAACUGUCAGGCUUGGGUGAAGUAGAGGCAGGCGGAAUUCCCUGUGUAGCGGUGGAAUGCGUAGAGAUAGGGAGGAACACCAGUGGCGAAGGCGGCCUGGGGGCUUUAACUGACGCUGAGGCACGAAAGCGUGGGUAGCAAACA